UGCCCUGUUUUACCAUAGGGGAGGGAGGUUACUGAGGCAAUAUGGGAAACGAGGAAUAAGUUACCAGGGGCCUGUGGAAACUAGUGGCACCAAAGUGGACAGACUGAGACCGCAGAUCAGACUGGCAUCAAGAUAACAGCUGGGAAGUGACUGUGGGUUAAAUAUUCAUGGAUAACUUCCAGGCACUGGCUUACGCAGCUGUAAAAGAGACAUGUGCUGCCUCUCUCCAGGUAUCCAGAAAAGGCCCUCGUUCCUAAGACAACAAUUCAAGGUCAAGAGAACAAAAAAGAAAUUGAAAAAGAUAUCCAACAUCCUCUCAUGCUGGAAGCUUCAAUAUCUGCUGCAAUCUUCACACUUUCCAGGGAUGUAACCAAAGCAAGUUCUAACAUCGAUUGAGAGUUUACUAUGAACCAGGCACUGUGCCAAGGACUCUACAAUACUAUUUGGCUGAAUCCUCAUAAUAACUCAGAAAAGCAUACAUUAUUAUGAAGUCGUGAGAAUAAAAUGACAGAAUGUAAGAAAGCUUAGACCAAGGAUUUAGACCAAGGUCACAGAGAAGGCAAGAGACAGAAUCAAGUUUGAAACUUUUGUCUCUGAAGUGCCAAAGCCCAUCUUCCACCCACUAAAUGAAAUCAAUGAUUCUAUGAGCUUUCCCAGAACCCACUCAAGACUGAGGCAGUUUGGGGAUGCCAGGAUUCACCAGGUUUGAGGGAAGAGGCAUCUUCUUGGAUAUGAGCAAGUACUGGGAAGAUCUAGAGCUGCAGGCCUGGGUAGAAGUGAAGGGGGGAGAGAAAAGAAGGAAGAAGGGAGCUAGUCGUCCAGAGACCAGCAGCAGUGAUGUGACUGCAGACUCAAAACACAGAGCUCUCUAAGCCACCCUCCUCUGACUUCAUUUGGAGACCACACCAGCCCCUUUGACACCUUGAGGUGCACCUGCAUCCCUGUGCAGUCCACUGACAAAAUUCAAGGACAAGGCUGGACACACAGAGGCAUCUCAGAGGUCAAGGG
rnacentral:lncRNA from 1 species